rnacentral:rRNA from 1 species
UGAGGAAUAUUGGUCAAUGGGGGCAACCCUGAACCAGCCAAGUCGCGUGAAGGAUGAAGGUCUUAUGGAUUGUAAACUUCUUUUAUACAGGAAUAAAUUGGGGGACGUGUCCCCUUUUGCAUGUACUGUAUGAAUAAGGAUCGGCUAACUCCGUGCCAGCAGCCGCGGUAAUACGGAGGAUCCGAGCGUUAUCCGGAUUUAUUGGGUUUAAAGGGUGCGCAGGCGGGAUGUUAAGUCGGCGGUGAAAUUUUGCAGCUCAACUGUAAAAGUGCCUUCGAUACUGGCUUCCUUGAGUGUAGAUGAAGUAGGCGGAAUUUGUGGUGUAGCGGUGAAAUGCUUAGAUAUCACGAGGAACUCCGAUUGCGCAGGCAGCUUACUAAACUACAACUGACGCUCAUGCACGAAGGCGUGGGGAUCAAACA